rnacentral:misc_RNA from 1 species
AACCAUUCUCACCUGCGGCUAGACCUGCGGAAGGAUCAUUACCGAGUUUACAACUCCCAAACCCAUGUGAACAUACCUAUCGUUGCUUCGGCGGGAUCGCCCCGGGCGCCUCGUGUGCCCCGGAUCCGGCGCCCGCCUAGGAACCUUAACUCUUGUUUUAUUUUGGAAUCUUCUGAGUAGUUUUUACAAAUAAAUAAAAACUUUUAGCAAUGGAUCU